AUGGCACCCGAAGCCCAACCAUUCGUGAGACACCCUGAUGAGCAUAGUGGCCUCUCGUUGUCCACCACCCUGGAGGAGGAAGGCGAUCAUUGCUUGGGGGAAUUACCGGCGGAUAAGCUGAACAGAAAAGAUGUCACUCAGCUCCACGAUGCCUUUCUAGAGGACCCGGAGGCCCUGGACAACGUUGCAUCAAGUAGCAAAGAUGAACCGGGCCCACUUUGUUUUUGCUGAAUGCUGCUAAAAAUUGUUGAAGAGGACUUUGAGGAUGAAGGUUAUAAGGAGUUUAGGAGAAGGUUUGGCAUGGAACUUGCUGAGCCAGUGCCACAUUGUGAGCGUAAAAAUUUAUGUGGACUAUUGUAUGCGUUGCUGUUUGUGCUGUUCUUAAUCACUGUCUUAGGGAAAAGCUUUUUGAAGAUUGUGAGGGCUGUGUCAUAGAGGCCCCAGCCCAACGGCACCAUGACUGUGUGAUUUGGACUUCAACUUUAUAUGUAAAUUUGUAAAUUUAAAUAUGUAAAUUUUAAAAAAACAUCUAUUGAAAGGGGCUUUGUGACUAUCUGCAUUUCUGUUAGAAGGUCUCUGGCCCUUAAGUGAGCUAAAAGUUUUCAUGGAGCCUCUUGGUUUCUUUUCAAGGAGCUGUAUGUCUUUUAAAUUAAAAAAAAUGGUUUGUGAGAAUCUAA